rnacentral:rRNA from 1 species
UACGGGGGGGGCUAGCGUUGUUCGGAAUUACUGGGCGUAAAGCGCGCGUAGGCGGAUCUGCAAGUCGGGGGUGAAAUCCCGAGGCUCAACCUCGGAACUGCCUUCGAUACUGCGGGUCUCGAGUCCGGGAGAGGUGAGUGGAAUUCCUAGUGUAGAGGUGAAAUUCGUAGAUAUUAGGAAGAACACCAGUGGCGAAGGCGGCUCACUGGCCCGGUACUGACGCUGAGGCGCGAAAGCGUGGGGAGCAAACAGG